rnacentral:ncRNA from 1 species
AAAUGAAAAGGUGAUGAAGUUCACCAUAACUGCCCUUUCCAAGGGAUGAUGACUUCUGCUUUCUA